UUGGCCCUAAAUCAAGGUCAGGAGUUUGUUGAAGCUGUUGGUUUCAAGCAGGAGCCUAAAGAAAUGUCUUUCUAUGGUCUGUUGGCUAUUUCAGAACUUUAGAAGUGUAAUAGUCACCCACGCUGGCAAGGUAGAUGG
ensembl:snoRNA